AACGAACGCUGGCGGCAGGCCUAACACAUGCAAGUCGAGCGGACAUCUUCGGAUGUUAGCGGCGGACGGGUGUGUAACGCGUGGGAACGUGCCCUUUGCUUCGGAAUAGCCUCGGGAAACUGGGAGUAAUACCGGAUGUACCCUUUGGGGGAAAGAUUUAUCGGCAAAGGAUCGGCCCGCGUUGGAUUAGGUAGUUGGUGGGGUAAUGGCCUACCAAGCCGACGAUCCAUAGCUGGUUUGAGAGGAUGAUCAGCCACACUGGGACUGAGACACGGCCCAGACUCCUACGGGAGGCAGCAGUGGGGAAUCUUAGACAAUGGGGGAAACCCUGAUCGAGCCAUGCCGCGUGAGCGAUGAAGGCCUUAGGGUUGUAAAGCUCUUUCACCGGGGAAGAUAAUGACGGUACCCGGAGAAGAAGCCCCGGCUAACUCCGUG
rnacentral:rRNA from 1 species